rnacentral:sRNA from 1 species
UAAGGUUACUUGUUUUAUAGUUUUAUGAAAUGACCCCUUGAUUCAGGCUUUUGAUACAUUAAGAUUUUAUAACGCACGAUAUGUGCAAGGAGGUUUCAUAUUAUGAAACAAGGUACUGUUAAAUGGUUCAACGCUGAUAAAGGUUACGGUUUUAUCACUACUGAAGACGGUGACGUAUUCGUUCACUUCUCAGCUAUCAACAAAGAAGGUUUCAAGACUCUAGAAGAAGGCGAAAAGGUUACAUUGGACGUUGAAGACGGCGACCGUGGACCACAAGCUGCUAACGUUACUCCUGCAUAAGGAUAACCUCUUAGUUAACUUUUAGUUUAAAAAGAGAUCAAAAACACCCGAGAUUUUCUCGGGUGUUUUUUA